rnacentral:tRNA from 1 species
ACCUGGUUGGCUCAGUCCGUUGAGCGUCUGACUUGGGCUCAGGUCGUGAUCUCACAGCUUGUGAGUUCGAGCCCCGCACUGGGCU